AGCCAUGCCGCGUGUGUGAAGAAGGCCUUUUGGUUGUAAAGCACUUUAAGCAGUGAAGAAGACUCCGUGGUUAAUACCCCACGGACGAUGACAUUAGCUGCAGAAUAAGCACCGGCUAACUCUGUGCCAGCAGCCGCGGUAAUACAGAGGGUGCAAGCGUUAAUCGGAAUUACUGGGCGUAAAGCGAGCGUAGGUGGCUUGAUAAGUCAGAUGUGAAAUCCCCGGGGCUUAACCUGGGAACUGCAUCUGAUACUGUUAGGCUAGAAUAGGUGAGAGGAAGGUAGAAUUCCAGGUGUAGCGGUGAAAUGCGUAGAGAUCUGGAGGAAUACCGAUGGCGAAGGCAGCUUUCUGGCAUCAUAUUGACACUGAGGUUCGAAAGCGUGGGUAGCAAACAGGAUUAGAUACCCUGGUAGUCCACGCCGUAAACGAUGUCUACUAGUCGUUGGGUCCCUUGAGGACUUAGUGACGCAGCUAACGCAAUAAGUAGACCGCCUGGGGAGUACGGCCGCAAGGUUAAAACUCAAAUGAAUUGACGGGGGCCCGCACAAGCGGUGGAGCAUGUGGUUUAAUUCGAUGCAACGCGAAGAACCUUACCUGGUCUUGACAUAUCUAGAAUCCUGCAGAGAUGCGGGAGUGCCUUCGGGAAUUAGAAUACAGGUGCUGCAUGGCUGUCGUCAGCUCGUGUCGUGAGAUGUUGGGUUAAGUCCCGCAACGAGCGCAACCCUUGUCCUUAGUUACCAGCGGGUUAAGCCGGGAACUCUAAGGAUACUGCCAGUGACAAACUGGAGGAAGGCGGGGACGACGUCAAGUCAUCAUGGCCCUUACGACCAGGGCUACACACGUGCUACAAUGGUAGGUACAGAGGGCAGCUACACAGCGAUGUGAUGCGAAUCUCAAAAAGCCUAUCGUAGUCCAGAUUGGAGUCUGCAACUCGACUCCAUGAAGUAGGAAUCGCUAGUAAUCGCGGAUCAGAAUGCCGCGGUGAAUACGUUCCCGGGCCUUGUACACACCGCCCGUCACACCAUGGGAGUUGAUUGCACCAGAAGUGGAUAGCCUAACCGUAAGGAAGGCGUUCACCACGGUGUGGUUGAUGACUGGGGUGAAGUCGUAACAAGGUAA
rnacentral:rRNA from 1 species